rnacentral:lncRNA from 1 species
AUAUUACAAAAACUGAUAAGGUAGAGUUUGUGGACAUAUUAGAACGGAACAGCUUGAUGAGCAUGGAACAAGUUAAUCAGUUUGCUUAAAUUGGCGCAAGAACCACUGCUACGGAGAAUGACCAGGUUUCAAAUGAAGAGGAAAAUGUAGGUGAUGGAUUGGGCUCAAUGCAUAAUUCCAAGAACCCAGCUGUUAAGAAAUAGGCUAUAAGAUUAAAUGACACUAUAGAUACUGAGAGAGAUGAGGAAGAGGAUGCUUUUGAUCAAUUCAUUUUGGAUGCUGCCGAAACUGAGAAGAUUGGUAAGGAAGUUGACGAUGGUGACAUGGAUAGUGGCAAAGAAAAUUCAAGCGGAAGUAGUGGAAGCAAAAGGGAGAGGGACCUUAACUUGAUGGAUAAGGAGGAUGAUGAAGAUGACCUUACUGUUAGAAGUACUCGUAGAUUGAGCUAGUCAAUUGAAUUGCAAAAAGAUGAGUCCGGUGCUACUCCUGUUUGGGGGCUUAGGAGGGUUGGCCCACAACAACCCAACAAAGCCCAUGAGGAUUUUAAGCUGGAACGCUAGG